GGGGCUUCGAUGAAAGUGCUUAACUGCAUUUUUUCUUACACAUGUGUUUUUCUUUUUUUGAAAACUUUGCUUUGGUAGGCCUUCUAUAUGGGGCCUGCCAGAGAUUAAACUCAACCAAAUUUUAUUUAAUGUCAACCGAUUAUUUAAUAGUCAAAACUUUCAACAACGGAUCUCUUGGUUCUCGCAUCGAUGAAGAACGCAGCGAAAUGCGAUAAGUAAUAUGAAUUGCAGAUAUUCGUGAAUCAUCGAAUCUUUGAACGCACAUUGCGCCCUUUGGUAUUCCAAAGGGCAUGCCUGUUUGAGCGUCAUUUCUCCCUCAAACCCUCGGGUUUGGUGUUGAGCGAUACGCUGGGUUUGCUUGAAAGAAAGGCGGAGUAUAAACUAAUGGAUAGGUUUUUUCCACUCAUUGGUACAAACUCCAAAACUUCUUCCAAAUUCGACCUCAAAUCAGGUAGGACUACCCGCUGAACUUAAGCAUAUCAAUAAGCGGAGGAA
rnacentral:rRNA from 1 species